UUGAAAAGAGAGUUAAACAGCACGUGAAAUUGUUGAAAGGGAAGCGUUUGCGACCAGACUCGCCCGCGGGGUUCAGCCGGCAUUCGUGCCGGUGUACUUCCCCGUGGGCGGGCCAGCGUCGGUUUGGGCGGCCGGUCAAAGGCCCUCGGAAUGUAUCACCUCUCGGGGUGUCUUAUAGCCGAGGGUGCAAUGCGGCCUGCCUGGACCGAGGAACGCGCUUCGGCUCGGACGCUGGCGUAAUGGUCGUAAAUGACCCGUCUUGAAACACGGACCAAGACGCCGGGUCAUUUACGACCAUUAC
rnacentral:rRNA from 1 species